rnacentral:lncRNA from 1 species
AGACAGCCCAUAACAGAGGGAGAAAGAGGGAGAGAGAGAGAGAGAGGGAGGAACGAUGAAGCAGACGUGGCAGAGUGUCGCGGGUUUGCAGGAGUUCCUGGUCCUAGUCUUGCAACUCACCUAUGAGGAAACUGAGGCGCAGAGAGGGGAUGCGACCUCCCCAAGGUCACACAGCAGUGCACUUGGGCAGUGGGGCUGCAGAAUCCACUCUUAAACUCUACCCGACAAUGCUUGUCUGUGCUCGCCGUCCUUCUGGCCUCUCUUCUUAAUGAUGGAAGAUAUCACACUAGCAGUUGGGGGAUUGAGGCUGAGUGACGGGAGUGGAAGGUUUGAGAAGAGAGGAGAGCCACCAGCCGCCGCCUUGGAGAGGAGACCUUACUAGAAAAACAGGAGGGCUACGGGUUUGAGGUUUGUGGUGCUGGGUUUGCUGUGAAAUCCGGGAGGCUGGCUGUUUGCCUAUUUUCUGCAUCGCGGUGAGGAACGGCUUUGGCAGGAGCAGGAGGAGAAAAGUGGCCCCUCCUCAGCUCACCGUCCAUCUGCUGAUCCUCCCUGCUCCCUGAGCCCUGGAAACUGGCGCCGGCUGGCCCGUCUGUCCUUCCAGCCAACCGCCUGGAUCCAAGUGAGCUAAGCUCGGGGGACCGAGCAUGUCCCCAGGCCGCGUGGGAGGGAAGGGCCUGGAAGGAUGUCACAGACCAGAGUCCAAAGGAAAUGAAUUCCAUGCCAGGAACGGGGAGCCCAGGGCAGGGGGCGGGGAGCUGUGGGGCUGGAGGGAAUGUGAGGGCCUCCAAGGUGGCCGGGGAGGUUUCUCUCUCAGCGCCAGAGAAAGCAGGGCCUGUGGCCGGUCCCCUCCCGCAGUCCCGGCGAGUCACGGAAAGACCCAGGGUUCUGCGGUGAGCCGGCCCUGAGCUGGAAUCUCAGCGCUGUGGUUUCUUGGCUGGAUGCGACUUUAGGGACUCUGAUGGGCUGAGCUCCGUAUAAAUCCUCAGAAUGUCGCUUCACAGAUGUGAUCAAGUUAAGGAGAGUGAGACAGGGAGCUGAUCCUGGAUGAUCCAGGCGGCCCAGUGUGAUCCAAAGUGUCGUCAUAAAGAAAAGAGGGAGGCAGGAGGGCUGACGCAGAGACGGAGGUGCCAGGAGGGAGCAGAGACUGACGGACGCGAGAAAGGGCCCUGAGCCAGGAGUCCAGCGGCCUCUGGAAACUGGAAAGAGCAAGAAAACGAUUCUUCGCUGGAGCCUCCAGAAGGAAUCAUUCUAGACUUCCAGGCUCCAGAACUUAAGACGAUAAAUGCGUGUCGUUUGAAGCCACUGAGUUUGUGGUGAUCUGUUACAGUCGCAGAAACUUGCUGGGGUAAGUUUCUUCAUCCCCCCCGAGCCUCAGUUUUCUCAGUCCAUGAAUUGGGGCUCACUGACUCCUCACGGCGUUGUCACCCCCGUGGAUGCACGGAUGCAUGGACGCACUGGACAUGCAUAGGAUGGUGGCCGGCACCCAGUAAAUGCUCGAGAAACAUCAGCUCUCCUGCCCUCAAAAUGGAGAUAAACCGUUCGUUUAUCUGACAAACAUUCAUGGAACGCCUACAAUGUCACGGCCAGCGUUCUGAGUGCUGGAGAUGCCGCGUGAACAAGACAGGCCGGCACUCUGGCCCUCGGGAGCUUCCAUUCCAGAGAGAGAGAAGAACAAGAGAAAUGAGGACACACUGUGGGAUUUCGGACGGUGAAGAUCAUGGAGUCACAGAUUCCCAGAGGUUGUCCCCCAGGCUGUAAAUUCCACACCCUACGACGAGGAGUCCUCCUCACCCCCUACAGGAUGCUCUGCUUCCUCCUUAUGUCGGACUCUCCCGUUCUUCAUCUCCUUCAUGACCCUGAACUCCAGCGGUUACUAUGGUAACUCAACCGCCAUGCCCGGCCCCCUUCUUUACCACCCGCCUCUGCUUCCAAGGCUGAAAACCAGGGACUCAGUUUCCCAGCAUCCUUUGCUACCAGUGACAGUCAUGUGACAGCAUGGUGGCCAAUGAGAUGAAAGCAGAAGUCAGCUGGGAGGCUUCUGGGAAGCCUUGGUGGUUCUUCCCUUCUUCCUGCCUUGAAUGUGGAUGUGAUGGUCAGAGUUGUGGCAGCCAUCCUGUGGUCAUGAGGCAACAGGCACGAAAGUCAACAUGCUAAGGGUGGUGAGGCAGAGAGACAGAAAGAACCCGAGAUGUCAGCUGUCAGUGAAUUAACGCCUGAAACCUCCUUCUUCCAGAUUUUUUUUGUGUGAGAAAAAUAAGUACCUGUUUGUUGACAUCAUUGAUUCCUGUUAACUUGCAGUCAAACACAUUCUCUGAUGAUUUUCUUCCAGGAGGGAAACUGGGCCCAGAGAGCCAUGGGAUGGUACUCAACAUGUCACGGACCGUUGCUGGAGGUGCCAGGACAGGACUGCAGGAGGGGACAGUGUGAGAUCUCAGACCUUAAAACCAGAGAGAGAGGCGGCCUCCAUUCUUUUUUGGGGAAAAUAAGAAUUUGGGGACUAUGAGUUUAAAAUGUGCCAGGAUCUCUUCCUGAAGAAAAACUUGGUCUCAGAUUCAAAAUAUAAAACCAACAGGCGGAGACACGCAGGGAGGGCAGACUCGGAGAAGCAUUGGAAUUCCCAGGUGUCCUUUGGGUGCCAAACAAAGAAACAAGCGAUAAAACCACACUGCUCUGCCCACAUUGUAUUCCCAAGAACCAACUCUGCCUUUUUUACAGAAGCCUGAGCUUCUGUAGUUUAAAAGUAAAAUAGCCAUGCCCAGUGGUGUAGCAGUUAAGUUUGUGCACUCCAUUUUGGUGGCCCAGGGUUCAUGGGUUCAGAUCCUGGCUGUGAACCUAGCACCACUCAUCAAGCCAUAGUGUGGUGGCAGUCCUGCAUACAAAAUAGAAGAAGAUUGGCACCGAUGUUAGCUCAGGGCCAAUCUUCCUCAGCAAAAAAAAAAAAAAAAAAAGUAAAAUAGCCCAGUAAAGACAGCCUCUUAGUUUGAUGUGAUCAACACAUAGGGAAGGUGAUUCCUAUCAGUUCACCCUGGAAAGACACUACAUGAAUUUUAUACCAGAACCUGCAUGUGGCUGCGCAGCCCAGAGCUGGGGAAGGAGUGUGUGUCUCUCCAUCAGGUCGACUUCACCUGGGGGACCCAGAGGCCUCAUUUCUCCACUUGUAUCAGUCAGUCGGGGUAACGUUAGCUGCUGUAACAAACAAGCUCGAAAAUGUGAAACGGCUCAAACAAUGACAGAAGUUGAUUGUUGCUCGUGGAAAGUCGUGGUUUUUCUUGAUCAGCCGGUGGUUUUCCUCAAGGUGUGACUCAGAAACCCGGGUUCCUGCCACCGCCUGGCUCCUCCAUCUCCAACGCUUGGCUUCCAAGGUGGCCCCAGGGGUCGUCUCUGUUCCAGUCGGCUUGAAAGAGAGAAGUGAAUAGAGGGUGAUGGUGGGAGGCUUUAACCGGCCAGCCCGGGUAGUGUGCACGUCCUUUCCAGUCAUGUCCUGUUGCUUAGAACUCAGUCACGUGGUCACACCUAAUGGAAGGGAGGCUGGGGGUGUUGUGCAGAGCUGUGCAUAGCGGCACAAGGAAACAGUCCUGCAGGACCACCAGCCUCUGCUGGUCUUCAUAGUCCUGAAAUAGUAAUAAUAAGAUGCAACUACAGGGGCCGGCCCAGUGGCGCAGCAGUUAAGUGCGCAUGUUCUGCUUCUUGGCAGCCUGGGGUUCGCCGGUUCAGAUCCCGGGUGCGGACAUGGCACCGCUUGGCAAGCCAUGCUGUGGCAGGCGUCCCACAUAUGAAGUGGAGGAAGAUGGGCACGGGUGUGAGCUCAGGGCCAGUCUUCCUCAGCAAAAAGAGGAGGAUUGGUGGCAGAUGUUAGCUCAGGGCCAAUCUUCCUCAGGAAAAAAAAAAAGAUGCAACUACAAAAAUAGGAAAAUGGUGGUGGUGUGGUGAACUGUGAUGUUGGUCUAGCCAGCAUCCUUCUUCCAGCAGCUCCAGCCUUCAUGUUCCUCAGGAAACCACGCCUCUCGCUGUCUCUUCCAUGUGAUUCCCACGGCACUGACUCCAUUUCCGUCCCUGGGUCAGCACACGACCCACGCACAGUCAAGCAACGCUCAAGCUGGGACUUUUCCUGGAGUGACUGAGACACGGAGGCUGUCUUUCCUCUUCAUACUGGAUGAAUCUGGGAAGACAGGAGCCUUGAGCGGCUGGGAGCCUACCUGUGAAAAGAGCCAACACAGAAGAAACUCUAGAGUCAGAGGGAGACAGAUUCUGAGGACAUUAUCUCGCACCUGGAUUCAGCCAUGCCUGAAGUCAACCAUCCCUGAGUUAUGUUAGCCAAUAAAAUUCUUUAUGAAAAAUUUUAUUUCUCUUAAGCCAAUUUGGACUGUAGCUCUAUUAUUUGCAACCAAAUGAUGUCCAACUAAUAAAUUUAUUGACAUUCCCAAUACUACUACUGGCCAUAAUAAUAAAAAGUUACAUAAUGCUUACCGCAUGCAAGCCACUUAACCUGCAUUAACUCAUUUACCUUUUUUUUUUUUUUUUUUUUUUUGCUGAGGAAGAUUCACCCUGAGCUAACAUCUGUGCCAAUCUUCCUCUUCUUUAUAUGUGGAUCACCGCCUCAGCAUACCUGACGAGUGGUGUAGGUGUAGGUCCACCCCUGGGAUCUGAACCCGUGAACCUGGGCCGCUGAAGUGGAGUGCGCGAACUUAACCACUACACUGUGGGGCUGGCCCCCUGCGAGAACACAUUUAAUCUCCAUGACAACCCUAGGAGGGUCAUUCUAUUAUCCCUGUUUUACGGCAGAGGAUGCUGAGGCUCAGAGAGGUUAAGAAAAGCUGGCAAUGUUCGUACAGCUAGUAAGCAGAGAACUUGAGUCCAAACUCAAGCGUUCUUGGCUGAUUUAUUAGUUACACAUGCAAAAAAUUCAUUGAACUACAAGCCAGACGUUGUUCUAGGCCACUUAGGAUGCAGCAGUGAACAGAAACUAAAAGAAAAUUCCUGCCCUCGUGGAGCUUACAUUCUAGUAGGAGCAGGCAAAUAACAAGCAAAAACCAUAAAUAUGUAAAUGAUACAGUAAGUAAGAAAGUGAAAAGUGGUGAGGAUGUAAGAGGUCGGAGAUGGGGGUAUUUUUUUGGUCAGAUUAUGUCUUAUUGAAAAGGUAACAUUUGAGCAAAGACUUAAAGGAAAUGAGAGAGUAAGUCAUGGAAAUAUCUGAGGCAACAUCAGUUUAGGCAGAGGGAACAGCCAGUGCAAAGGGCCUGAGGCAGCACUGUGCCUACUGCAAUGAAAAAAAAAAAAAGGCCAGAGUAGCCAGGGCAGAGUAAGGAAGACAGAGAGUGAAGGGAGAUGGAGUCAAAGAGGUAAAUAGAAGGCACAAUGAGGAGACCAUGAUGAGAACCUGAGCUUUUACUCUGAGGGGUUCUGAACAGAGAGGGACGUGAUCUGACGUAGGUGUUAACAGGAGCCCUCCGGCUGCAUGUGGGGAAUCUUUUACAGAGGAGCCAGAGGUUGCUAGAUAUAACAAAUAAAAAUACAGGAUGCCCAGGGAAAUUUAAAUUUCAGAUAAACGAGGAGUAAUACUUUAGUGAUAAG